GCCCGGGUGGUGGAAUUGGCAGACACGCAAGACUAAGGAUCUUGUGUCCGUAAGGACAUGCGAGUUCGAUUCUCGCCUCGGGCACCA
rnacentral:tRNA from 1 species